rnacentral:sRNA from 1 species
ACGCUGGAUAUGGACGUUGCUUAAGUUGACCAUUUUCUACAUUUAAUACACGAGG